UACGUAGGGGCCUAGCGUUGUCCGGAAUCAUUGGGCGUAAAGGGCGUGUAGGCGGUCCGGUAAGUCCGCUGUGAAAGUCGGGGGCUCAACCCUCGAAUGCCGGUGGAUACUGUCGGGCUAGAGUGCGGAAGAGGCGAGUGGAAUUCCUGGUGUAGCGGUGAAAUGCGCAGAUAUCAGGAGGAACACCUAUUGCGAAGGCAGCUCGCUGGGACGUAACUGACGCUGAGACGCGAAAGCGUGGGGAGCAAACAGG
rnacentral:rRNA from 1 species